rnacentral:tRNA from 1 species
GGGCGUGUAGCUCAGUGGUAGAGCUCUGGUUUUACACACCAGCGGUCGGCGGUUCGAUACCGUCCACGCCCAC